rnacentral:lncRNA from 1 species
UGGGCUGGGGCGGGGUGGAGCAGAGCCGGAAGCGGGAGGGGAGAGUGAAACAGGAAAAGAAGGGAAGAAGGCAGAAGAGGGAAGAGGAGGAGAGGGAGGAGGAGGAGGGAGGUGGCGGCGCCGUGGCGGAGGAGCAGGAGCAGGAGGGGGAUGGAGAGGAGAAGGCUCCUGGGUGGCAUGGCGCUCCUGCUCCUCCAGGCGCUGCCCAGCCCCCUGUCAGCCAGGGCUGAACCCCCGCAGAAUGUUGCCUUUCUCUGUGGGACGGGCCCACUGUCCCCCAAACUGUCCUCACUGAAGUGAGAUGAUCCUUGAUACUGGAAGUGAGUAGUCUCCAGCAAAACUGGGGUGUUCCUGCCUGUGUUGGAAUAUGUCAUGGACAGAGACCCCUGGCCCAAGGGGCUAUUUAUAGUCUAGAUAGUGGGAGCUGGUACUACAGGCCCUUGAUUGGCCCGAUGCUGAAUGUAACAGGGCAACCAGAAUGUUGAACCCCAGCUAUUCCCUGGCCUAAUAAGAGGUCUUAGGGUCUCACAAGGACAACACUGAAAAUGCCACGGUGGUAAGCCAGCCUACAGGUGCAGGAUGGGAGCCAUCACUCGGAGAGGGAAGAGGGAAUUUGCCAACUUCUAACUUAACCCCUAACCUGCUGAAUGUUAGCCAACAUUACGUGGUAAUAUUGUUUGCUUGUUAUUUGUUAUUUGUUAUUUCAUCAUGACAGCCACCAUGAGGGAGGAGGUCUUAGCUCCUUUCUAUUGUGAGGAAACCCAAGCUCAGGAAGUUUUUCUCUUUAGUAUCACACGACUAAUGUGUGUCUGUGGCAGCACCGGAGGCCAGGGCUGAGGGAGUCAUGUUGUCCUCUUGUAUGUUCCUUUGGUAUGGUACCUGCACCCAAAUCUGCCAGACCUUCCCCCUGUGUGCCCUGCGCUCUGCCAACAACCAAGUAUU